rnacentral:rRNA from 1 species
GAUGAACGCUGGCGGCGUGCCUAAUACAUGCAAGUAGAACGCUGAAGGAAGGAGCUUGCUCUUUCCGGAUGAGUUGCGAACGGGUGAGUAACGCGUAGGUAACCUGCCUGGUAGCGGGGGAUAACUAUUGGAAACGAUAGCUAAUACCGCAUAACAGUAGAUGUUGCAUGAUAUCUACUUAAAAGGUGCAAUUGCACCACUACCAGAUGGACCUGCGUUGUAUUAGCUAGCUGGUGAGGUAACGGCUCACCAAGGCGACGAUACAUAGCCGACCUGAGAGGGUGAUCGGCCACACUGGGACUGAGACACGGCCCAGACUCCUACGGGAGGCAGCAGUAGGGAAUCUUCGGCAAUGGACGGAAGUCUGACCGAGCAACGCCGCGUGAGUGAAGAAGGUUUUCGGAUCGUAAAGCUCUGUUGUAAGAGAAGAACGAGUGUGAGAGUGGAAAGUUCACACUGUGACGGUAUCUUACCAGAAAGGGACGGCUAACUACGUG